AAAAGUUCUAGAAGCAC
rnacentral:tRNA from 1 species